UACGAAGGGGGCUAGCGUUGCUCGGAAUCACUGGGCGUAAAGCGCACGUAGGCGGCUUUUUAAGUCAGAGGUGAAAUCCUGGAGCUCAACUCCAGAACUGCCUUUGAUACUGGAGAGCUUGAGUCCGGGAGAGGUGAGUGGAAUUCCCAGUGUAGCGGUGAAAUGCGUAGAUAUUGGGAGGAACACCAGUGGCGAAGGCGGCUCGCUGGACCGGUUCUGACGCUGAGGCGCGAAAGCGUGGGGAGCAAACGGG
rnacentral:rRNA from 1 species